ensembl:misc_RNA Metazoa_SRP Metazoan signal recognition particle RNA
GCCGGGCACGGUGGCACGAGCCUGUAAUCCAGCUACUCCGGAGGCUGAGGCUGUCAGAGCACUUGAGCUCAGGAGUUCUGGGCUGCAGUAGGCUAUGCCGAUCCAGUGUCUGCACUAAGUUCGGCAUCAAUAUGCUGAUCCCCGGGGAGCUGAGGGCCACCAGGUUGCCUAAGGAGGGGUGAACCGGCCCAGGUCGGAGAUGGAGCUAUGUUUGCAGCCUGUUGAAUGAUGUUACUAGUUGUCCAUCAAAAUUUUGUUCUUUUUACUUCUUCUGCUAAAGGGCUGGAGAUAUAUGUGCGUAUGUCAGCAACC